UACGUAGGGUGCAAGCGUUAAUCGGAAUUACUGGGCGUAAAGCGUGCGCAGGCGGUUAUGUAAGACAGAUGUGAAAUGCCCGGGCUUAACCCUGGGAACUGCAUUUGUGACUGCAUGGCUAGAGUUUGGCAGAGGGGGGUAGAAUUCCACGUGUAGCAGUGAAAUGCGUAGAUAUGUGGAGGAACACCGAUGGCGAAGGCAGCCCCCUGGGUCAAGACUGACGCUCAUGCACGAA
rnacentral:rRNA from 1 species